ACAUAAAACCAAAUUCUAUAUAAUCCUAUAAUUAUACAUAAUCAUUCACUAUCUUUACUUUCCAGUACAAUCAUUAAAUCACAUAAUAUAUAAAAUCCGGGCACCACGCCCCCCCAGCGCGCCCGCACCUCCCUCCAUCUGCUCCCUCCGCCCACCCGCACCUCCGUGACACCACCGCCGCCGGCUCCUCGCCAUCUCCUCGCUCAUCUCCUCUCCAUGCCCUCCAUCUCCUCGCUCUCCAUCCCGCAGGGACGAGCAGAGCUGCUCCAAAUCUGGAUCCCCCACGCGCCGCCGCCUCGGGUUCACGCGUCUGCGCGCUACCGGAGCCCUCGCGCACUCGGCUCCUCUGCCCCCGGCGGCGAUCCGGGCCUAGAACCCUAGGUUUUUGACGCAGCAGGUAGUUACCCUCCCCUCUCGCGCCGUCCUCUCCGCUCAUUCGGUCGGAUCGGGAUUUGGAACGGGCAUUGCGCGCUCACGCUCGCUCGCUCAGGAUCGUAGACCUAGGUGCGGUGGAUUAGAUCUGUGCGAUUGGGGCGCGGGGGCUCCGGUUACGCUUGGGGACGGCCGUUGCUCUGGUCGGAUUUUCGUUUGUAGCUGCUGCUGCGAGCUGAUUUUGUCUGGACAUGAUGCGCUGAUGCUUUUGUUGGUAGUCAUGUAAUUGGGUAAGAAAGGCUUGUAAUGUAGCUUUGUCUUUUCUUUUGAUUGCGUGCAUGUGAUGCUGGUAUCCAGCUGCAAUUUAGCGCUGAACUAGCACAAUGGAGGUGUUGCUACUGCUCGCAAAAUCUGCAACAUAUGAUGUUGCAUCUAGCCAAUCCAAGCAAUGAGAUUGUUGUCAUUGAGAUUCCGUUGUUGUGGAAUUAGCAACGAGGAGAAGGAUCACCUUUUGGAAAAAUAUUUUGCUAAAUAUACAUUAAGAGAAUAGCCAGGUGCGUACUAGAUAAUAUAUGCACUUAGUUUUAGUCAUAUGAUUGUAAACACAUAUUAUUUGUAUUGAUAACACUGUUUUUUUAAUGUUGUAAUAUAGAUUGCACUACAGCUAGCUGUACUAAUCUCUAAGAUUGUACGAUUGAAUUACCCGAAAGACUGGUAUGUAUUUAUGACAACUAUUAUCAACUUAAAUAUGCCCUUCAAGGCUACAAUGGUUCCUCA